GGUCUUUGGAAUCGCUUUGGCCAGAGGCACGAAAAACUUUAAAGCUGUGCAUUGCAUGUUUUUUGUUUGUCCUUUAUGUGUGAUGUUGAGAAUUUCAGGACAAAAUAUGAUUGUAGAAGUCUGUAGUCCUCAUUUCUGGACCCGGGUUCGACUCCCGGCAUCUCCACCA
rnacentral:tmRNA from 1 species